rnacentral:rRNA from 1 species
UUACACAUGCAAGUCGAGGGGUAUAAGUCUUCGGAUUUAGAGACCGGCGCACGGGUGCGUAACGCGUAUGCAAUCUACCUUUUACAGAGGGAUAGCCCAGAGAAAUUUGGAUUAAUACCUCAUAGCAUAGCAAUCUCGCAUGAGAUCACUAUUAAAGUCACAACGGUAAAAGAUGAGCAUGCGUCCCAUUAGCUAGUUGGUAAGGUAACGGCUUACCAAGGCUACGAUGGGUAGGGGUCCUGAGAGGGAGAUCCCCCACACUGGUACUGAGACACGGACCAGACUCCUACGGGAGGCAGCAGUGAGGAAUAUUGGACAAUGGGCGCAAGCCUGAUCCAGCCAUGCCGCGUGCAGGAUGACGGUCCUAUGGAUUGUAAACUGCUUUUGUACGAGAAGAAACACUGCUUCGUGAAGCAGCUUGACGGUAUCGUAAGAAUAAGGAUCGGCUAACUCCGUGCCAGCAGCCGCGGUAAUACGGAGGAUCCAAGCGUUAUCCGGAAUCAUUGGGUUUAAAGGGUCCGUAGGCGGUUUAGUAAGUCAGUGGUGAAAGCCCAUCGCUCAACGGUGGAACGGCCAUUGAUACUGCUGAACUUGAAUUAUUAGGAAGUAACUAGAAUAUGUAGUGUAGCGGUGAAAUGCUUAGAGAUUACAUGGAAUACCAAUUGCGAAGGCAGGUUACUACUAAUGGAUUGACGCUGAUGGACGAAAGCGUGGGUAGCGAACAGGAUUAGAUACCCUGGUAGUCCACGCCGUAAACGAUGGAUACUAGCUGUUGGGGGCAACUUCAGUGGCUAAGCGAAAGUGAUAAGUAUCCCACCUGGGGAGUACGUUCGCAAGAAUGAAACUCAAAGGAAUUGACGGGGGCCCGCACAAGCGGUGGAGCAUGUGGUUUAAUUCGAUGAUACGCGAGGAACCUUACCAAGGCUUAAAUGUAGAUUGACCGUUUUGGAAACAGAACUUUCGCAAGACAAUUUACAAGGUGCUGCAUGGUUGUCGUCAGCUCGUGCCGUGAGGUGUCAGGUUAAGUCCUAUAACGAGCGCAACCCUGUUGUUAGUUGCCAGCGAGUCAUGUCGGGACUCUAACAAGACUGCCAGUGCAACUGUGAGAAAGUGGGGAUGACGUCAAUCAUCACGGCCUUACGCUUGGGCUACCACGU